AUCAAACGGCUGGUGUUGUUGGUGUCCUCUGCUUCGAGUCCGGCGUUGCCUCGGAUGACUACUACCGCGGCGCCCAACGUAGGCCACACCCACUCUUGAUCUUCAGCAAGUUUCAUUGCAAAUCUUCCAGCUCGUAUGCGUUGGUGCCGAUGGAUUUCCUUACGCGAGCUUUUAGAAAUUUCCGCGCGAAUUUCGCAUUGAACGCGCGGCUGAAAUCACUCAAUGCAAAGUUUCGCCGGUAUACCUCCUGACCGGGCGCUAGUCUUAGCCGCCGCGCACGCCGGUUAUAGCGAACGCUACUGCGCUCAUACGCCGCGUGUAAUUGUGUCUGGACUUUCUGUUGCACCAGGGAUUGCCUGUCUGCUGUACUCAACGCUGCGAAUUCGUGCUCGUCUAACGACCUUAAUUUCCUCGCAACAUCAUAUGUCGGCCGAAUAGUGCGAAAAAAGGCGUUACUCCAGUCGCAGAAUGCACGCUAUUUCUGAUGGCCACUUCAAUUUCCGGAAGGUGUAGGUCCCACUCGCGCUGAUCCUGCUCCAGAUACGCCCGUAUCGCGGACAGUAUCGUCCGGUUCACCCUUUCGGACGCGUUGCUUUGCGGCGAAUACACCGGUGUCCGCAGAUGCUUAACACCGUAGCCCUCCAUCAUGUCUGCAAACUGCUUGGACGUGAAUUGCUUACCAUUAUCGGAGUGUAUGACUUCUGGAACGCCGAACGUAGGGAACACUUCGUUCACCAAGAAGUCGACGACGCUCCGAGUGGUGGCCUCCCGCAUCGCCUUCAGGAUCGUGAAUUUGGUGAAGUGAUCUACCACUAUGAAUAUGAAGGCGUGCCCCUUCCUUGAUCGCGGAUACUUGCCCAAGAAGUCUAUGUACAACUUCUGGAACGGCCUCUCCGUGACGACUUCUGCACCAAUUCCCACCUGCAUCCCGUAAUUGGUGGCUUUCGUCUCUUUGUAGACCACGCAUUUUCGGACCACUUCAGCAACGUCUUUGGCCAUUCCCGGCCAAUAAAACUGCCGCCGCAACCAGGACAACGUCUUCAACACUCCUCCAUGCGUUGACGCUUCGGUAUGGGCUUCGAUAUAAGCAUGCCGGUUAGCGCACGCGGAACCCACAGUUUCCACACACUGCCUUCGAGCUGAUCUUCUAGCCGAUUGAAGGAUGUCUUUUUGUAGAUCACCCCGUUUUCAAUUUUUAAAUCAGGUCUCCUGGAAAGAAAUCCAACUCCUCUAAAGUUUCGGCUUCGGUGCUCCUGGACAGCAUAUCCGCCACGAUGUUGUCAGAGCCCUUCCGGUGCGUGAUUUCAAAGUCGAAGCCUUGGAGCAGCAACGACCAACGUGCCAAUCGCCCGGACAAAUCCUUCAUGGACAUCAGCCAUUUCAAACUGGCGUGAUCGGCUAUGACCGUGAAUGGCAUCAUUUCGAUGUAUGGCCGGAAUUUUUGUAUCGCCAAUACCGCCGCCAAGCACUCCUUCUCGGUCACCGAGUAGUUUACCUGGUGCUUAUUCAUCUUAGCCGAGCAGAACGCAAUGAGCCUCUCGUUUCCCUUUAAGUCCAUUUGGAACAAU